ACACCUAGCUCAGAAGAUUUGGAAAUGGAUCUUGCAAUAUCUGCCGUUACAGGUGACCUCGCCAGCCGAUUCAUCUCUUUUCUCAUGAACAAAUACACGGAUCAUGUAUGCUCAGAGGAGAAGGCGGAGAGGCUACAACAACUCUUGUUGAGAGUUCACACGGUCGUCGAGGAGGCGGACGGACGAUGCAUCACCAACUCUUGUAUGCUCAUGCAGUUGAAGCAGCUAUCGUCAGCCAUGUACCAAGGGUACCAUGUGUUGGACAACGUCAGGUACAAGCAACAUAAGGAGGCAUCCAAGGACUUGGUGAGCGAUUCAUCUACCUCGUCCGAUUAUAUCAUUCCUUUCAAACGUGCUCGGACAGCCUAUUCUUCGACAAACAAGGCCUCCAACUCGGGAUUACAAAGUGCACUUGAGAAUCUGGAAGGUGCUGUUACUGACAUGGUGGAGUUUGUUGUGCUUUUGGGCGGAUGCGAGCGCAUCUCCCGGAGACCGUAUGAUGCCUAUCUUCAGGUCGACAACUUCAUGUUUGGUCGGCAUGUCGAGAAGCAGAAGAUCAUCAACUUCUUGCUGCAAGAGAACAUACCCGGUCCUCCGGCAGUGCUACCAGUCGUUGGUGGACGUGGAGUUGGGAAGAAAACUCUUGUUGCACAUGUAUGCAGGUAUGACAGGGUGCGUUCUCACUUUGCAGUUAUUUUGCACCUGAACGGAGACGGUCUUACGAGA
rnacentral:rRNA from 1 species